UACGAAGGGGACUAGCGUUGUCCGGAUUGACUGGGCGUAAAGCGCACGCAGGCGGUCGCGCGCGUGGGGUGUGAAAUCUGGCCGCUUAACGGCCAGGCGCCAUCCCAUACGGCGCGACUGGAGUGAUGCAGAGGUCGGUGGAAUUGCCGGUGUAGUGGUGAAAUGCGUAGAGAUCGGCAGGAACACCCAGGGGGAAACCAGCCGACUGGGCAUCUACUGACGCUGAGGUGCGAGAGCGUGGGGAGCGAACCGG
rnacentral:rRNA from 1 species